rnacentral:rRNA from 1 species
GAUAAGUAAUGUGAWUUGCAGAAUUCAGUGAAUCAUYGAAUCUUUGAACGCACCUUGCGCUCCUUGGUAUUCCGAGGAGCAUGCCUGUUUGAGUGUCAU